UACGAAGGGGGCUAGCGUUGUUCGGAUUUACUGGGCGUAAAGCGCGUGUAGGCGGGUCGUUAAGUUGGGGGUGAAAUCCCGAGGCUCAACCUCGGAACUGCCUUCAAAACUGGCGACCUGGACCCAAGUAGAGGCAAGUGGAAUUGCGAGUGUAGAGGUGAAAUUCGUAGAUAUUCGCAGGAACACCAGUGGCGAAGGCGACUUGCUGGACUUGUGGUGACGCUGAGACGCGAAAGCGUGGGGAGUAAACAGG
rnacentral:rRNA from 1 species